rnacentral:rRNA from 1 species
GACAGCCAGGAUGUUGGCUUAGAAGCAGCCAUCAUUUAAAGAAAGCGUAAUAGCUCACUGGUCGAGUCGGCCUGCGCGGAAGAUGUAACGGGGCUAAACCAUGCACCGAAGCUGCGGCAGCGACGCUUAUGCGUUGUUGGGUAGGGGAGCGUUCUGUAAGCCUGUGAAGGUGUACUGUGAGGUAUGCUGGAGGUAUCAGAAGUGCGAAUGCUGACAUAAGUAACGAUAAAGCGGGUGAAAAGCCCGCUCGCCAGAAGACCAAGGGUUCCUGUCCAACGUUAAUCGGGGCAGG